AUCAGCGUCAUUGUCUGGGAUUUCAACCCCACCCCCUUCCGCAACCCCUGUUCUUCUCCCUUUCCAUCUUUACCAUUUUUAUAACCCCGGAUGACAGGGGGGGGGGCGGGGUGAUGCCGCAGCGCGUGGCAUCUCAGGACCCAGUGCCCCCACUCUGUCUGGGGAGGCCACGCAGCCCCUCCUUCGUCUCUCCCCCUGCCCAAUGCCGAGCCGCCUGUGGUGGUGGCGCGGUGAAGCACCUGCCACGUGGGGAGGUCAGAGCGAUGUACCGCCCCACUGACGCCGGCGGUCGGGCCCUGGAUGGCGCUGCGGCGGAGCGACCUGCGGCAGUGCACAGGCUUGCGCCACGCAUAUGGUAGGCGAAGCGUCAGCGUGGCUCGAGCGUGUAAUCCCACCCCCGGCCCUCGCACUGCGUACGGGGGUGUGGGGAGCCACCCACCCACCCCUGAGGAGAGAAUGCACCCGGUGGCGCCCGGCAUAGUGGGGGAGCGGCUGUGAGGCGACCUGCGGGGCGCGGGUGGGUGUGCGGUGCUCGAGGCAGGGGGGUGGUGCUCCGACGGCUGAGCCGGGCGCAUUGCUGCACUGGCGUGUCUCUCGCUCUGCAUCGCACGACGCGGAUGGGGGCCUGUGAAAGGCUCAUGUGGCAGAGUAGCGUUCUUGCGCUUCUAAUCCAUACGCGACGGUAAAGGCGUGCUGUGGGCAGCGGGCUGCCGGCGACCAGCUCUCGCUCUCUCCCCCGCGCCUUAUUCUCCGUCUUGAGGCAGCGAAGGGCCGCGCCAGGCCCGGCGGAACGGGACGUUCCGCUUUCCUCGUUCUCUUUAUUCGUCUUUGCGCGCUUUCCUCGGGAGAUAGCGGCUCUGCACGAUCGGGGGGACGAUGAAGUGUUCGUUGCCGAGUGAAGGCGAGGUCUUUGUUCUACCUGUGACUGCUACUUGUAGUUUGCAUUUUGUUCGAGAAAGCGCCCCAGUGACGUCAUGGCCUCUUCUCUCUCGUUGUUUCCACUGCCCAAGCCUCCCGAGUAAGCCCCGCCCACCCGGCCCCCUUCACGCCUCCACCCUGUGAGGCAGGAAGGCGGGAGGGCGUGUGGCUCCGCGCUCUCGUCCAUGCACACAGUCACAGGCGCAUACGGCUGGCGAUGCCCUUGUAUGAGAGACGCGUUUGAUUCCUGCCGGUAUGCAGCCCUCUCGGUGUCAGCGGCCCGACCGCACACACACACACACACACAAGCAUCAAGAGCAAACCGAUAAGCAGAGCAAGAGCGAGAUGGAAAAGGGUUGCGUCUGCGGAGGACGCACGGAAACAGGCUAACGGGUGUUUUUGUUUUUGAAAACGGUCGUUACUGGCAUGCCUAUCAUUCAGCCGCGCAGACGCUAUCUGGGCGGGCUGGCCUGUUGCCGCGUGGUAGAAGAGGAAGCGGCCGCUUUCCCCCAUCGCCCACAAAGGCGCCCUCUCUGCUAACCGCUCCACGAGCCGUCUUUAUUGGUGUGCACGUACUUGCAGCGGUGUGGCGGAGGGGAAGAAAUAUGCCCGCCUUGAUGUUCGGUCCUGCUUGACUCUGCCCAUCUCUCUCGUUCAUCUAUCUUGCCUCUCUUCAAUUUCCUUUGGUGGACCGCCGUAACUGUUCUCGUGCGUUUACGUGGAACGUUGUCGUCUCGCCCGUCAUCGCAUGCGGAACGGUCAUCUGCAUGUUGUACGUGUGCGUAUGUUGUGGCGGUACUGAUGGCGUUGUUGUUAUGCCUGAACUAG
rnacentral:misc_RNA from 1 species